UACGUAGGUGGCAAGCGUUGUCCGGAUUUACUGGGUGUAAAGGGCGUGUAGCCGGGGAGACAAGUCAGAUGUGAAAUCUGGAGGCUCAACCUCCAAACUGCAUUUGAAACUGUUUCUCUUGAGUAUCGGAGAGGUAAUCGGAAUUCCUAGUGUAGCGGUGAAAUGCGUAGAUAUUAGGAGGAACACCAGUGGCGAAGGCGGAUUACUGGACGACAACUGACGGUGAGGCGCGAAAGCGUGGGGAGCAAACAGG
rnacentral:rRNA from 1 species